CAUAUAUUGAUACUUAGAAUUUAUGAUUUAGUCAACCUCUUGUAGGAUUGCAUAACAAAUAACAACAAACGUAAUGUCUAUCCCCAUCUCUCUCUCUAUCUCUCUUUUCCUCCCUCAUCAGGGCUGACUAUUAUGUUAAAGUGAUGAAUAAAGUCCAAGAGAAAGGAGAUUCCUAUAUUGAGAAUGAGAGUGAGAGAUUAGGACGUAUGGUUGAUGGUAAGAAAGUGAGUGCCAAGAAAAGCGAUGAGUUCACUAAGAGGAGGAAUGUCCUGAGGAAAUUUGAACUCUAAAUAGUAAUAAAAGUGCCAAAAUCUUGUUGUUUUUGUGUAGCUUUACAAUUUUUUGAUGCUAUUAAUUUUCUUUUAUUAAAACUAAAAGGUUAUCAGUAA